UAUUCGUCAAUCUAUCGACUUACAAAAAUAAACCAAGCCUACUCAUAAUGGUCUGUCCAAAAAGUUUAAAAGAAUCUCUAAAAAAUGGGAAAAUAUCAAAACUUAAUUGCAGUAUAAUCGUAUUUGUGAUAGCCAGUAAUCAUAUACCCACCAAAACUGAAGCAGGAAGAAAUAGAACCUAUAUAAUAAUGUAUAAAACUGCACGAAUGAACAAGCCUAUCGUUAAAUAUAUAAUACAACAGGAAAAUAGAAAGAAAAAAUACUAACAGCAUCUUAUAAAUAUUGAAAAAGAACAUAAAGAAUUUGCAGGGUUCUAGUUUUUU